rnacentral:rRNA from 1 species
CCAACCAAGUCGACGAUCGGUAGCCGGACUGAGAGGUUGAACGGCCACAUUGGGACUGAGACACGGCCCAGACUCUUACGGGAGGCAGCAGUGAGGGAUAUUGGUCAAUGGGGGAAACCCUGAACCAGCAACGCCGCGUGAGGGAAGACGGUUUUCGGAUUGUAAACCUCUGUCCUCUGUGAAGAUAAUGACGGUACCUGCAGAAGAAGCUCCGGCUAACUACGUGCCAGCAGCCGCGGUAAUACGUAGGGGGCGAGCGUUAUCCGGAUUCAUUGGGCGUAAAGCGCGCGUAGGCGGCCGCCUAAGCGGAACCUCUAACCCCGGGGCUCAACCUCGGGCCGGGUUCCGGACUGGGCGGCUCGAGUGCGGUAGAGGAGAGCGGAAUUCCCGGUGUAGCGGUGGAAUGCGCAGAUAUCGGGAAGAACACCGAUGGCGAAGGCAGCUCUCUGGGCCGUCACUGACGCUGAGGCGCGAAAGCUGGGGGAGCGAACAGGAUUAGAUACCCUGGUAGUCCCAGCCGUAAACGAUGGAUACUAGGUGUGGGGGGAUCCCCCCUCCGUGCCGCAGCCAACGCAUUAAGUAUCCCGCCUGGGGAGUACGGCCGCAAGGCUAAAACUCAAAGGAAUUGACGGGGGCCCGCACAAGCAGCGGAGCAUGUGGCUUAAUUCGAAGCAACGCGAAGAACCUUACCAGGGCUUGACAUGCGCCUGAAGCCGCGGAGACGCGGUGGCCGAGAGGAGGGCGCGCAGGUGGUGCAUGGCUGUCGUCAGCUCGUGUCGUGAGAUGUUGGGUUAAGUCCCGCAACGAGCGCAACCCCCGUCCCGUGUUGCCAGCAUUAGGUUGGGGACUCGCGGGAGACUGCCGGCGUCAAGCCGGAGGAAGGUGGGGACGACGUCAAGUCAUCAUGCCCCUUAUGCCCUGGGCUGCACACGUGCUACAAUGGCCGGUACAGAGGGUUGCCACCCCGCGAGGGGGAGCGGAUCCCGGAAAGCCGGCCCCAGUUCGGAUCGCAGGCUGCAACCCGCCUGCGUGAAGCCGGAGUUGCUAGUAAUCGCGGAUCAGCACGCCGCGGUGAAUACGUUCCCGGGCCUUGCACUCACCGCCCGUCAAG